rnacentral:rRNA from 1 species
UACGAAGGGGGCUAGCGUUGCUCGGAAUCACUGGGCGUAAAGGGUGCGCAGGCGGGUCUUUAAGUCAGGGGUGAAAUCCUGGAGCUCAACUCCAGAACUGCCUUUGAUACUGGAGAUCUUGAGUUCGGGAGAGGUGAGUGGAACUGCGAGUGUAGAGGUGAAAUUCGUAGAUAUUCGCAAGAACACCAGUGGCGAAGGCGGCUCACUGGCCCGAUACUGACGCUGAGGCACGAAAGCGUGGGGAGCAAACAGG